GACGAACCGUCCGAACGUUAUUCGGAAUCACUGGGCUUAAAGGGUGCGUAGGCGGCGCGGAAAGUUGGGUGUGAAAUCCCUCGGCUUAACCGAGGAACGGCACCCAAAACUACCGUGCUCGAGGGAGAUAGAGGUGAGCGGAACUUAGGGUGGAGCGGUGAAAUGCGUUGAUAUCCUAAGGAACACCGGUGGCGAAAGCGGCUCACUGGAUCUCUUCUGACGCUGAUGCACGAAAGCUAGGGUAGCGAACGGG
rnacentral:rRNA from 1 species